rnacentral:rRNA from 1 species
AUUGAACGCUGGCGGCAGGCCUAACACAUGCAAGUCGAGCGGAUGAAGGGAGCUUGCUCCUGGAUUCAGCGGCGGACGGGUGAGUAAUGCCUAGGAAUCUGCCUGGUAGUGGGGGAUAACGUCCGGAAACGGGCGCUAAUACCGCAUACGUCCUGAGGGAGAAAGUGGGGGAUCUUCGGACCUCACGCUAUCAGAUGAGCCUAGGUCGGAUUAGCUAGUUGGUGGGGUAAAGGCCUACCAAGGCGACGAUCCGUAACUGGUCUGAGAGGAUGAUCAGUCACACUGGAACUGAGACACGGUCCAGACUCCUACGGGAGGCAGCAGUGGGGAAUAUUGGACAAUGGGCGAAAGCCUGAUCCAGCCAUGCCGCGUGUGUGAAGAAGGUCUUCGGAUUGUAAAGCACUUUAAGUUGGGAGGAAGGGCAGUAAGUUAAUACCUUGCUGUUUUGCCGUUACCAACAGAAUAAGCACCGGCUAACUUCGUG